ACAUACCAGAUGUUGAAUUGCAACUUGAGCUAUAAGAACUUGUAUCAGAGAAGUGGAAAUCAAUUAGGAUACUUAGUUAAGGAGAUAGUAUAGAGAAAAUGGUUGUUGGUGUUUAACUUUUUGGGCAUCUCUAUACUAAUACUUACAUGUAUGAAUUUAUGUGCUGUACGCCAGGUUCGGAAGCGACAACGAGCACCGUGACUCCACGUAGGGAGUGAGCUCGUGUUGGUACCUUUUUGGCUGGACCUCGAGUGAUUUCUUUCCAGGUGCGUGACGGCACGCGGGUCCAUUGCAGAGUCUAGACAGGAGUUGUGUAUAUAGAAGUCUAGCUUUUUGACUCUUUUGAUUAUGUGCCUAUUUUUGGAGCUUGUAUAUGUUGUAAAUACCUGUGGGCACGUCUUGUAUGACAGUUAUUUUCGUAUAUAUGCAAGUUAAGUUUUUUUUU